rnacentral:rRNA from 1 species
AACAGGGAAGAGCCCAGCWCYGAAUCCCACGACYGGAAACGGGCGUCGGGAAAUGUGGUGUUUGGAAGGGUCCGUUAUCCCGAGAUAUCGUGACGCGUCYWAGUCCAUCUUGAACGGGGCCACUACCCAUAGAGGGUGYCAGGCCCGUAGCGACCGUCGCCAUUCUCGGGAGGAUCUCUUCUUAGAGUCKGGUUGCUUGAGAGUGCAGCCCUAAGUGGGUGGUAAACUCCAUCUAAGGCUAAAUAUAACCACGAGACCGAUAGCGAACAAGUACCGUGAGGGAAAGUUGAAAAGAACUUUGAAGAGAGAGUUCAAUAGUACGUGAAACCGUUCAGGGGUAAACCUGAGAAACCCGAAAGGUCGAAAGGGGAGAUUCAUUCGCGUAUCGCCGACCGGCGUCGAACCGUCGUGAGAUGGGUAGCCUCGUGCUCUCCGUUCCUUCGGAUUGACGAUCCGUAGGCGAACGCGUGCACUUCUCUCCUAGUAGGACGUCGCGAUCCGUUGGGUGCCGGUCCAAGGCCUGCGGUGGAGCCCGUGAGCACGGUUCGCCGUCGCUCACGAACCCGCAGUGUACCCGACCGGCUCGCUCGACGGUCGAAAUAUGGCGCGGGGCCGCGGCUGUGUUCGCGUCCGACACGUGGCAAGUACGUUUGUCGGUUCGACGUUCGGACUUCGUCCGAUCCCGAUCGCAAACGACUGUGGCCGCGGUGUUCUCGGACAGACUCCGUUAUAACGCCAAUCAGCGACGCUAUAGCUUUGGGUACUUUCAGGACCCGUCUUGAAACACGGACCAAGGAGUCUAGCAUGUGCGCGAGUCAUUGGGAAAUAACUAAACCUAAAGGCGUAAUGAAAGUGAAGGUUCGUCUUGCGCGAACCGAGGGAAGACGGGCGUUUCGUGAAAACGAUCGCCCCGCACUCCCGGGGCGUCUCGUUCUCAUUGCGAGAAGAGGCGCACCAAGAGCGUACACGCUGGGACCCGAAAGAUGGUGAACUAUGCCUGGUCAGGACGAAGUCAGGGGAAACCCUGAUGGAGGUCCGUAGCGAUUCUGACGUGCAAAUCGAUCGUCGGAACUGGGUAUAGGGGCGAAAGACUAAUCGAACCAUCUAGUAGCUGGUUCCCUCCGAAGUUUCCCUCAGGAUAGCUGGCGCUCGUAGCAUACGAGUCUCAUCCGGUAAAGCGAAUGAUUAGAGGCAUUGGGGUCGAAACGACCUCAACCUAUUCUCAAACUUUAAAUGGGUGAGAUCUCCGGCUUGCUCGAACUUGAAGCCGCGAGAAUUUCGGAUCAGAGUGCCAAGUGGGCCAUUUUUGGUAAGCAGAACUGGCGCUGUGGGAUGAACCAAACGCCGAGUUAAAGCGCCUAAAUCGACGCUUAUGGGAUACCAUGAAAGGCGUUGGUAACUUAAGACAGCAGGACGGUGGCCAUGGAAGUCGGAAUCCGCCAAGGAGUGUGUAACAACUCACCUGCCGAAGUUACUAGCCCUGAAAAUGGAUGGCGCUGAAGCGUCGUGCUUAUACUCGGCCGUCAGCGGCAUGUGCGAUUGCUUCGUGCGAUCAUGAAGCCCUGACGAGUAGGAGGGUCGCGGCGGUGUGCGCAGAAGGGCUGGCCGUGAGGCCGUCUGGAGCCGCCGUCGGUGCAGAUCUUGGUGGUAGUAGCAAAUACUCCAGCGAGGACCUGGAGGACUGACGUGGAGAAGGGUUUCGUGUGAACAGCCGUUGCACACGAGUCAGUCGAUCCUAAGCCCUAGGCGAAAGCCGAUGUUGAUGUUGGUGUCGGUUUAGAAGUCUGCUGUUGCAUAUACUCUGAUAUAUGAGCAUACCACGCACCCAUCGGGCGAAAGGGAAUCCGGUUCCUAUUCCGGAACCCGGCAGCGGAACCGUCUUACAAUCGGGCCCUCGCAAGAGAGUUCGUCGGGGUAACCCAACAUGACCCGGAGACGCCGUCGGGAGAUCCGGGAAGAGUUUUCUUUUCUGCAUGAGCGUUCGAGUUCCAUGGAAUCCUCUAGCAGGGAGAUAUGGUUUGGAACGCGAAGAGCACCGCAGUUGCGGCGGUGUCCGGAUCUUCCCCUCGGACCUUGAAAAUCCGGGAGAGGGCCACGUGGAGGAGUCGCGCCGGCUCGUACCCAUAUCCGCAGCAGGUCUCCAAAGGUAAAGAGCCUCUAGUCGAU